rnacentral:rRNA from 1 species
UUCGGAUCGUAAAGCUCUGUUGUUAGGGAAGAACAAGUGCAAGAGUAACUGCUUGCACCUUGACGGUACCUAACCAGAAAGCCACGGCUAACUACGUGCCAGCAGCCGCGGUAAUACGUAGGUGGCAAGCGUUGUCCGGAAUUAUUGGGCGUAAAGGGCUCGCAGGCGGUUUCUUAAGUCUGAUGUGAAAGCCCCCGGCUCAACCGGGGAGGGUCAUUGGAAACUGGGAAACUUGAGUGCAGAAGAGGAGAGUGGAAUUCCACGUGUAGCGGUGAAAUGCGUAGAGAUGUGGAGGAACACCAGUGGCGAAGGCGACUCUCUGGUCUGUAACUGACGCUGAGGAGCGAAAGCGUGGGGAGCGAACAGGAUUAGAUACCCUGGUAGUCCACGCCGUAAACGAUGAGUGCUAAGUGUUAGGGGGUUUCCGCCCCUUAGUGCUGCAGCUAACGCAUUAAGCACUCCGCCUGGGGAGUACGGUCGCAAGACUGAAACUCAAAGGAAUUGACGGGGGCCCGCACAAGCGGUGGAGCAUGUGGUUUAAUUCGAAGCAACGCGAAGAACCUUACCAGGUCUUGACAUCCUCUGACAACCCUAGAGAUAGGGCUUUCCCUUCGGGGACAGAGUGACAGGUGGUGCAUGGUUGUCGUCAGCUCGUGUCGUGAGAUGUUGGGUUAAGUCCCGCAACGAGCGCA